rfam:Kwoniella heveanensis BCC8398 unplaced genomic scaffold supercont1.9, whole genome shotgun sequence.
AUCUACGGCCAUAGAAGCGAGAAAACGCCGAACCCCGUCCGCUCUUCGAUGCUUUAAGCUCGCUAUCGCCCGGUUAGUACCAUCGUGGGGGGCCAGAUGGGAAUCCCGGGUGCUGUAGUUG